rnacentral:rRNA from 1 species
GACGAACGCUGGCGGCGUGCUUAACACAUGCAAGUCGAACGGUGAUGCUCCAGCUUACUGGCGUGGAUCAGUGGCGAACGGGUGAGUAACACGUGAGCAACCUGCCCCAGACUCUGGAAUAAGCGCUGGAAACGGCGUCUAAUACUGGAUACGAAACUGGCCCGCAUGGGCAUGGUUUGGAAAGUUUUUCGGUUUGGGAUGGGCUCGCGGCCUAUCAGCUUGUUGGUGAGGUAAUGGCUCACCAAGGCGACGACGGGUAGCCGGCCUGAGAGGGCGACCGGCCACACUGGGACUGAGACACGGCCCAGACUCCUACGGGAGGCAGCAGUGGGGAAUAUUGCACAAUGGGCGAAAGCCUGAUGCAGCGACGCCGCGUGAGGGAUGACGGCCUUCGGGUUGUAAACCUCUUUCAGCAGGGAAGAAGCGAAAGUGACGGUACCUGCAGAAGAAGCACCGGCUAACUACGUG